AUGGGGCCCCGGCGGCGCGCGGGGGCCUGCGUGCGUGCGUGCGUCCCUCCGUCCGUCCGUCCGUCCGUCGCGGGGCCCCGUCGCCCCAGCCCCUCCGCGGCGCCCGCCACCUGCCGGCCCGGCGCGCUGGGCCGCGGGAGACACCGCCGCUCCCGCCCCGGCCCGGCCCGGCCCGGCCCGGCCCCGCGUCCGCCCGGCAGGAGCCGCAGUCGAGGUGUCCGCCCGGCGGCCGCCGCGCUCCCUCCCGCCGUCCCCGCCGUCCGGCCGCAGCCAGCCGGGGCGGCGCCCGCACCUGCCGGCCCCGCGGCUUCACCCACCUGGCGCCCCGCCGCGCCUGCCGCGUCACGGCCGGCCCCGCGGCCCUCGGCCCGCAGCGGGCGGGCGGACAGGCGGGCGCCGGGAGUCUGCUGCGCCGCCGGCCCGCCGGCCUCGUCCCCGGAGAACCUGUUGCGCAGCCGGUCGCGGCGCUGGGCUCCGCCGGCGCCGCCUCAGCCCCACGCCAACAUGGCGGCCGCGGCCUCCGCAGGAAGCCGGGGGGCGGGGAGGCAGCGCCGGCCGAGCGGUGACGCCCGCCCGCCGCCCGCCCGCCGCCGGGCUCCCUCUCCACCCUGCGCCCGGAACGCCCGGCGCCGCGCCUCGCCGCGGCCCGCCGCCAGCCCCGGCCCCGCUCUGCCCCGCUCUGCCCCGCUCUCCCCGGCCCCGGCCCCCGGCCCGCCCGGCGCGACCCCACCCGCUCCUCCUCCCCGAGCGGACGGGCUGGGCGCCUCCGUGCCGCGCUUCCUGCCUCGGCGCCCCGGCCUGGGGGCGGCCAUGUGGGCUCCCCGGGGCUCCUCGCUGUGCCGGGGUCCCCAGCGCCGGGCAGUGGGACGUGGGGAGCGGAGGAGCGGCGCCCGCCGCCCGCGGGUCCCCCAGCCCCUGCGCUCCGUAGGACGCACCCUGCCCCGGGGCCGUCCAUCCUCCGCUCCCACCCUGGUCCCUCACCACGGAGAGGCCAGCAGGGUCACCCGCCGGGCCUGCUCUCGUGCGAAGCACCCCCAUGUACGCGCCCCCGCAGGAAGACUCGGGCUCACCUGCCUGCAGGAGCCCGGCCUCUCUGUGCACCCCGGCCCCCUCCAGGUGCAGCUCAGACCCGCAUGGCUUUCUCCUGCCUUCGACGCCUCACGAAGCCCACAGCAGCCUCCUGAGACUCCAGGAGCCUUGCACACCCGGGGCUUACCCUUGACACAGCUCUCCGCGAAGGGGAGGCUUUCGUUUGGCUGUGGUCAGGUGAAAUCUACUCAGCUACUCAGCUCUACGAAGCUUCAUUAAGCCAAAGGCUCACUAUGGUGAGAUGUUUCUCAGUGUUUCAAGAGGAAUUGGCCCCACAUCCCAUUUUAAUAAUUUAGGGUGCUCUCAGGUAGACUGACAAAUGGGGUUUUUGAGCCAAGAAACCUUGUGGACCAAGGAACAUAGCCUUUGAUCUGUUGGAGGGCCUGGCAGUGAGUGUGACCAACUCAGCUCUAUCCUAUCAUCAGGACCCUAGCCGGAGUUCACUUGUCUGGACUAGUUAAACAUCCAGGAUGCGAAGGCCCGUUCUAUGAAUUGCAACCUCGUUUCAUCAGUGCGUAAUCCAAAGCAGGUGAUGACCAUACAGCAGCACCUCUGUUCACAAACAAGUUAGUUUGUAAAAAGAAGUGUUCGGAAAAAUUUUGCUUCUAUCCAUGAACUCUGCAUCAGGUGACAAGCGCGAUCCUGGUCACACAAAUCUAAGUGUGACCAUCUACCCUGCUCUGCCUCGUGGCCGUGGCUUGCUCUCUGGAGCCUGUGGUUGCAGACAGACCUGCACACACUUUCUGUGAAGCUUUUUGUGUGUUUUUUUAGCACACACAGUACUGUAUUAUUCAGCCCAUCAUGGCUCCCAAGAAAGCAUGGUGGUAAAGAGAAAGGGCACACAGUGCUAAAAGCACCGAGAACAUGCCAAGCCGUCGUGGCUGUAACAAGAAAGUGCAGAACAAGAACGGUAAGAAGAUUUUACAGAGAACAAUCAUUGAAACGAAGAAAAAUUGUAGAAAAACAUGCGCGUGGCGUGACUGAUCUGGCCUCAGAGUACAAAAUGGUGAAGUGAACCAUCUUGACUAUUUUGAAGACUAAAGAUGCCAUGAGAACAGCGGAUGAGGAAUAACAGCGUCACCCAAGCAAGGGCCCGAGUGCUGGAAGAGGUGGAAACAGCUUUGCUCCGGUGGGUCGUUGAGACACAGCUGGCACGUGGUAGCCUUAGUGAGGCUCUGAUCUAUAACAGGCUGGGAAACUGCAUGAUUUACCGCAAGAAGACCCUGCUCCAAGUGCAGUAAGUGAUGAAUUCAGAGCCAGUGGAGGUAGCUUGAUAAAUUCCACAAGCGAAAUGGCCUCCACAGUGUGAUAAGCCAUGGGGAAGCUUCCAGUCCUGACCCGGCCACUGCAAAGUCUGCAAGAAAGAAUUCAUGAAUUCACGAAGGCAGACGGAUCCGUCACUCAACAAGUGUUCAACUGAGAUGAAACAGAGCUCUUCUGAAAAAGAUAGUAAACAGAACCUAACACCCUGGAGGAGAAGCCACUGCUGGGAACACGACCACAAAGCACAGGCUGACCCUUCUGCUGUGCGAACACCAGUGCUGAUCUGCAGAGUAGGCCAUUGCUGGUCUGGUGGAUUAAAAGCUGGUGGUCAACUUGUAACGCCAGCCAAACUGCAUCGGCGUGGGGCUGAGCACAGAGGGUCCACCUGAGGACAUGCCAGCAUCAAAAGAAGAAGGAGGGAGAGAGAAGCACUGUGGGUUCUCCUAAGCGCUGUUGUUUGGAGCCGUUGGUUCUCCUGCAGGAGCUGGCCUUGCGGGCUCCCCUGAUAUGAACUCAGCUGUUAUCACUGGAGGAGCUCAGCCCUUGUUGCUGAGAAUAGCUUGCAGUUUACUUUUGGGGAGUUUUGAUCCUUACACUUUGAGCAUCACUCCCUGGCUCCGAAGGGGAAGGUGUGUGCUGUUAUCUCCAGGAGAAGAUUGUCACACAGGCUUCCUGAUAUGUACUUGACGGUUAUCAUCAGAGGAGCGCAAGACUUUGUUGUCACUGGGGAUGGUUGUGGCAUUUUUCAGGGGAGCCUGGGUCCUAUUUUGAGAAUUUCUUCUUUGCUCCAGUGCAGAGCCCUCAGCCUACUGGCACAGAUCCUUCACCCCACUGGCAUAGACUUGCUAGCUUCCACCACUGACCUUGGGGCCUUCCCAGCUCACCUCCAUGAAACAGACAGACUUGCAUGAGUCAUUGUCGUGGGCUCUAGGUCUUCAGCUGGACUCAUGCAGGAUAUUGCAUGGGCUCCAAGGCCCUGGCUGGAUUCUUCAGGUCUUUAGUGUAUGCACAGAUCUCCUCACGUCUUGUAUUUAACUCUUGGGUGACAAUUACAAAACAGUACUAUAAUUAUGUGUCCUGUGUGUAAUUGUUCUCUUUGCAAUCCCUGACUACAGCAACUGGUGUGCCAUUCCCACACCUCUCAUGCGUUUAAGGAAUAGACAGUGAACAAGAACAGGCUACCUGUCAUGUGCAGGGCCAGUUUGAAAGGCUGGGUCACAAGGCAACUGUUCAUGGAAUGGUUUGUGCCCACUGUUAAAUAUCUUCUGACAAGCACAUACCCGCAAGGGGCCUCCUUUGGAUGGAGAGUGCCCUGACACAGCCUCCAGCCAGUAGGGGAUAAGGACACUGAGAAUGACUUCAUAAAGGUCCAGACGCCCUCCCCGCCCCCAACACACCCCCUCUUCUCCAGCCCAUGGACCAGCAAGUUGUCUGCAAUGGCAAGAGGAUGUUCACAAAGGCACUCUUCACCAGCUCGUGGUGUCUGGUGAAGGGGCCGGAGUACUGAUCUGGAGGAGGACGGGGCAGGCACAGAGGCGCUUGUUAGGAACGGUGAGGAGGAACGCACUGAGCUCCAGGGCAAGCAGCAGAAGCGCUGGUUGAGAAGCGUCCACUGACAGGGAGCAGGGCAGCAGCGAUGUGCUCAAUCCGUCAUGGAAAAACAGAGUGAGUGCCGGGAUUUCUCUGAGAAGCACCAGGGCACAAGACUGUCAUGAACAGAGUACUGACUCUGAAGAACGAUAACGUGGUCUCUCGAUUCUGGAGGGUUACGCGGUGCAGGAAAAAUUAAGUGACAUUAGACAGAUUUUUCAUCAAAACUGUCCCUGAAGGAGACCUCCCUGCUGUCCUCGUGGAGGACGAUUCUUCCUGCAAGCAACCUCCUCCCCACCCACCUUCCUGUCCUCAGCGAGAAGUCACCUCAAGCAAAUUAGAGUUCUCUCUUCAUACCACACUGUCCUGCAUUGGAACGUACUUCGUUUCAUAUUUCUGUGUUAAAAAAUGCAUAUGGCUCAGAAUAAUCAACCUCACUUACACUGAACUUCUGGCCCCUUGAUGAGUUGAGAAGCUGACUUGGGAGUUUAUCUCUCAUUUCUAUCGUUGGCCAAAAAUAAAGUUCUUUCCUACUGUUC